AGGCCUACGGGGCGCAGCAGUGGGGAAUAUUGGACAAUGGGGGGAACCCUGAUCCAGCGACGCCGCGUGAGUGAAGAAGUAUUCCGGUAUGUAAAGCACUAUCAGCAGGGAAGAAAGAAAUGACGGUACCUGACUAAGAAGCCCCAGCUAACUACGUGCCAGCAGCCGCGGUAAUACGUAGGGGGCAAGCGUUAUCCGGAUUUACUGGGUGUAAAGGGAGCGUAGACGGCGAUGCAAGUCUGUAGUGAAAGGCGGGGGACCA
rnacentral:rRNA from 1 species